ensembl:lncRNA
GGGACGCGUCAGGGGUGGGCCCGGCAGAACUCCAGGGCGGCCUGCGCCAGGACAUAGGGGACCGUCUUCCCCAGAGCUGGGAAAAGAGAGCCAGGGCAAGGAGCCAGGAGGAACUGGAGGCAAGGUGACUCCCCCUGUUUCGUGCUCCGCUCCAUGUUAGGGACAGAGACCUGGGCGGCAGUGCAGCCUCUGGGGAGAUGCGUGUCCCGCAGGCUCGGUUCCACCCCCAGUGACAUGCCCAGUGCCGGCCCCUGAACACGACACUCACUCGUGCUGGGCAGACGGAAUGCAGGAUGGUGCCUGCCACUCAGAGAUAGACGGAGGCCGUAAGGAUCACGCCCAUUGAUCAAGUGCUUACUGUGUUCCCGACGUGGUUCUAAGUGCCCACCGUAUGUUGACUCAAUGAGUUCUCACAAGAGCCCUACAAGGACAAUCAUAAGCCUGGGGCUGGAUGGUGAGUGCCAGUCUAACAAUGUGAAUAUGAGAAGCUAACUGCAACCCUGUGAAUAAUCAACCUGAGGCUGUCAGUCCUGAACAAGGAAACAGAGUGAGAAAAGCACAUUGCAUCCCAUGGACAUCAUACGGCUUUGUUGAAGAAGGUAUCUCAAGUUUGGUUUCCAGACUUGACCCGGCUCAGGGGUCACUCACCAGUUCGUGGCCUGUUAGGAACCAGGCUGCACAGCAAGAGACCCACCAGGCUCCCCCGUCCCUGGGAUUCUCCAGGCAAGAACACUGGAGUGUGUUGCCAUUUCCUUCUCCAAUUCAUGAAAGUGAAAAGUGAAAGUGAAGUCACUCAGUUGUGUCCGACCCUUAGUGACCCCAUGGACUGCAGCCCACCAGGCUCCUCCAUCCAAGAGAUUUUCCAGGUUUGUCAUAGCUUUUCUUUCCAGAAGCAAGCAUCUUUUAAUUUUGUGGCUGCCGUCACCAUCCGCAGUGAUUUUGGAGCCCAAGGUGGACUCUUCACCAUCUGAGCCACCAGGGAAGCCCAAGAAUACUGGAGAGGGUAGCCUAUCCCUUCUCCAGGGGAUCUUUCUGGCCCAGGAAUCAAACCAGGGUCUUCUGCAUUGCAGGUGGAUUCUUUACCAACUGAGCUACCAGCGAAGCCCUGGAAAGCUCAACUAAGUUGUCAAAUACCAUCAAGGAUCCAGGUCCCACCACCCUGCUGUAUUGCCAUCCUCAGAGGACUGGGUGUCCUCAGCACAUCCCUUCCCUGUUCCAAGGAGGCUGUGGCUUCAAGCUUCUCAUCUCCAGAGGAUACGGUUCAACAGAGCCAGGAAAGAGGCAGGAGUGAAACAAAGAAUACAAAUAAAUUUAAAAUUUUAAAGGCUUUUUUGCCGUGUUGACUAUCUUAUUUACCCAAACAUAUUUGGACAGCAAGGAGAUUCAACCAGUCCAUCCUAAAGGAAAUCAGUCCUGAAUAUUCAUUGGAAGGACUGAUGUUGAAGCUGAAACUCCAAUCCUUUGGCCACCUGAUGCAAAGAACUGACUGAUUUGAAGAAACCCUGAUGCUAGGAAAGAUUGAAGGUGGGAGGAGAAGGGGACAACAGAGGAUGAGGUGGUUCAAUGGCAUCACUGACUCAAUGGACA